UGUGUGUGUAUAUAUAUAUAUGUGUGUGUGUAUAUAUAUAUAUAUACACACACACACAUAUAUAUAUACACACACAUA
rnacentral:miRNA from 1 species